UGACUAGAGGCAGACUCGUUUG
rnacentral:miRNA from 1 species